rnacentral:ncRNA from 20 species
UUAAGUGAUGAUAACUUGAUUAGUGUAUCGAAGGUCUACGGAUCACUGUGAGCACAUGAUUUCUCAAUAGACUACAACGGUAUCUGAAA